UAAUACAGAGGGUGCGAGCGUUAAUCGGAAUUACUGGGCGUAAAGCGCACGUAGGCGGCUUGGUAUGUCGGGUGUGAAAUCCCCGGGCUCAACCUGGGAACUGCAUCCGAAACUGCCUUGCUCGAGUAUGGGAGAGGGAAGUGGAAUUUCCGGUGUAGCGGUGAAAUGCGUAGAUAUCGGAAGGAACAUCAGUGGCGAAGGCGACUUCCUGGACCAAUACUGACGCUCAGGUGCGAAAGCGUGGGGAGCAAACAGGAUUAGAUACCCUGGUAGUCCACGCCAUAAACGAUGAGGACUAGACGUUGGAGGGGUAAGCCUUUCAGUGUCGUAGCUAACGCGCUAAGUCCUCCGCCUGGGGAGUACGGCCGCAAGGUUG
rnacentral:rRNA from 1 species